rnacentral:misc_RNA from 1 species
AACGCAAAUUGCACUCCCUGGCAUUCCGGGGAGUAUGCCUGUUUGAGGGUCGGUAUAAGUAAUGAUCGAUGUGUUGCUUUUUGUUGGUGACAUUUUCGUAGUUGGGUCAUCUUAGCCUUUUUUUGGUUAAGAGACCUGAAAUUGAUGUUGCUUGCGCAUCAUUGACGUUGUAAUCUUUUUUAUGUCGUCUUCGGAUGCCAGGCUCUUAUUAGGUGUGAUCAUGUCGCUGAGCUCAUGCCUAUAUGUUUCGAUUUCUGACCUCAAAUCAGGUAGGAAUACCCGCUGAACUUAA